AUUAUUUUGUGUCAUUUCGUUGCCAUCCGUGGAGGGUUAAGGACGUAGGACCAAAACUUAUAUUCAUUCUUCAAAAAUGUUCGAAUUUCGUAUCUUAUUGUGUUCCUUAUUGAUUAUCAGCUGUACUAUAGCGGAAAAUGUGCCGCCACCUCAUGUGGAGUCUCCACCAGAAGCGGAAAAACUGUCCAUGCCUAAGGUGCAAUGGGACAAUAUUUUGAAAGAAGCUAAAGAAGUCUGUAAAUGUACAACAAAACCGAUUGAAAUCAUAACGCCUGCACCGUCCCCGAACCCCUGCGAAGCGAAAGCGACAAACGUUUUCUUCGAAUUGAAUUCAACAGAAUUAGCACCUCUUGAUAACCUGUGCAAAUCGAUAAGGGAUGCAAACUUUAUCGUAACAGCUAUCAAACCAGCCCAGAAUCCACCAGCAGCUGCCGCGUCAACAAAUACAAAAGAAAUUGUAUCACCAUCUACAGCGGCACCAACAUCAUCAACAUCUGGAGCUGGAUCAAUUGCCACAGAGGCGUCAACAAAUACAUCUGGGACUGCAAAACCAGCCACGGCAGCGUCAACAGAUUCAUCCGGGGCUGUAAAACCAGCCACGGCAGAGUCAACAAAUACAUCUGGGACUGUAAAACCAGCCACGUUAGCGCCAACUAAUACAAGUGGCGCCGCAACACCAGCCACGGCAACGCCAACAAAUACAAGUGCCGCUGCAACACCAGCCACGGUAGCCACAACGAAUACAACAGGCGCUGAAACAGCAGCCACGGUAGCCAUAACAAAUACUACUGGGACUGUGCCACCAGCCACAGCAACGUCAACAAAUACAUCUGGGAUUAUAACACCAGCCACGGCAGCGCCAACAAAUACAUCUGGGGCUGCAGCACCAGUCACGACAACACCGAAACCUCCUGUAGCAGAAAACCUUCCCCCGAGUUCUAAAACCAAGCAAAGCUUCUCGCUCAAAGAGAUCUUACUAACGUUCUUCGGUGCAUUCGGAGCAGGCAUCCUGAUAGCUGUCGCAGCCAAAAUUGUCCACACCAAAUACAGAUCGCGAACUUAUGGAGGAAGGAACGCGGCGUAGAGGCGGGCGCCGGCACCACACGAGGACGGGGUCUUAAGCAAAGGUGGCUCUAGAAGUACCAGCUGAACAGGAAUUACAUUAAAUGUGAUUCAAAUAGUUUAGAUAACGUUAAGUAGUUAACCCGUGAAACCAACAGCCUUAUGCAAGAACAACGCAUAGCAGAAUGUUGCCCUUAGAUGUCAUGUUGUCUUUGUCACUGUCAAAUUAAUGAUUGAGAGGGAUAGAUGUUUCAAAACGUCACUUAGUUAAGCGUGUUUGCAUAGGGCCGUAAGUUUAAUAAAAAGUUGUGAAGUGAAACAUAGGCUGAAUUAAUACAACCUUCUUUUUAAUAGAACUUGUCGCAUUCUGAAUGCAGCAAUGCGAUGCAGCAUUUGGCCUGAUUGUGUCAUGAACAUGAUUUGAGUUUAAGCGGCGCCUGGUGGUAUUCCACCAUUCAGACUAACGGUUGUGUCGAGAGAGACGUAAUAUGCUAUCUUGCUCCUGCACCCGCAACAGUCGUACUCUAAUUAAGAGGUGACGCAAGAACACGUGAUGCCAUUACAUACUUUUGACACAUUUUGAUGAAUUGAUUUUCAGUUGAAACAUUUCCUUGAUAUAACAUUGCUAAUUGAUACUUUAUGUGUAUGUUGCCGGCUAAACUUGAUUUU